rnacentral:rRNA from 1 species
AACGAACGCUGGCGGCAGGCUUAACACAUGCAAGUCGAACGCAUCCUUCGGGGUGAGUGGCAGACGGGUGAGUAACGCGUGGGAACGUGCCCUUCAGUUCGGGAUAACCCAGGGAAACUUGAGCUAAUACUGGAUACGUGCGAGAGCAGAAAGAUUUAUCGCUGAAGGAUCGGCCCGCGUCUGAGUAGCUAGUUGGUGGGGUAAUGGGCCACCAAGGCGACGAUCAGUAGCGGGUCUGGGAGGAUGAGCAGCCAAACUGGGACUGAGACACGGCCCAGACUCCUACGGGAGGCAGCAGUGGGGAAUAUUGGACAAUGGGCGCAAGCCUGAUCCAGCCAUGCCGCGUGAGUGAUGAAGGCCUUAGGGUUGUAAAGCUCUUUCAGUGGGGACGAUAAUGACGGUACCCGCAGAAGAAGCCCCGGCUAACUUCGUGCCAGCCGCCGCCGUAA